ACAAUAUGUAUGAACACUAUCACUUUAAAUAAAAGCUAGGUCACUGCCUUACACAGGAAUUUACCAUCAACUAGGAAAAAGGAAGUUUAAGACCUAAAGAGGAACCAGAGUAGAUACUUAGAACUGUAGAUAACUGAGUUACACCCAUACACAAGUAUUUACAAUGGCCUAGGGGAAAGGUGAACUACCAAAACUGGUUUUCAACCUCCCCCUGGCUUUUGACCUUGUUGCCCUCCCUUUUAGGGCCCCUAUUAAAAUUCCUAUUAUUAAUCUCCUUCGGUCCUUGGGCAUUUCAGAAAUUGACCCGAUUUUUUAAAUCUCAAGUUGAUUCAUCUCUUUCAAGUGCAUUUGUUUCAGUUCAUUACCAUUGGCUGGACGUUGGUGAUAACAAGCAGGUUACUGGAGAAGAGGCAGACGCGGAUGUCGCUUCAUCACCCUCUUCUCGGGGAGAGAGACUCAAUUUCCAUAAAAUGCUUAAGUAAGAUCAUUCCCCUCCCCCUAAAUUCGGCCAUCAGUCUCAUGCCACAAAUCAUUUAUAGAUUGCCGUAGUCUGUGCUUUUCCGACAUGGUAAUAUACGUUCUCGCCACAUUGGAAACUAAACAGUCAUCCCAGGCUAGACACAUCAAAAAAUUAAAACUUGAAGCCGUCGCCCGUGAGAGUUGUAAGACUAAGUACUGCACAGAGAUUAGUCUAUUACUUCCCCUUUUGCUUGUAUUGCCCUACCCCUCCCACUGAUAAGUAUCUGUACUUCCCCCUUUGCUUGUGCAUUUAAACCUUGGACCUUUCUCAAUACAUUGGGGUCUUGAUACAACUUCAGAACGGUUUCCGUGUCGUUACUCGUACAAGACCCUCGUCUCUCUCUACCCCCCAUUUGGUUAUUAGGAGGAGGUCCCCUCGAGAUCCUCGAAUAACUGGACCUGCUGGACGGGUCACGCAAGCCUUUCGACUUGUGCUAUAGUGAAAUUAGUGCUGACUCCAUAAUUGCAAACUGCUUCUGCCAGCUCCUUAAUCUGUAUAUACUCUACUGGAGCAUGAACACGCCCUC
rnacentral:lncRNA from 1 species